GAUGAACGCUGGCGGCGUGCUUAACACAUGCAAGUCGAACGAUGAAGCCCAGCUUGCUGGGUGGAGUAGUGGCGAACGGGUGAGUAACACGUGAGUAACCUGCCCUUGACUCUGGGAUAAGCCGGGGAAACUGGGUCUAAUACUGGAUAUGACUUCUCAUCGCAUGGUGGGGGGUGGAAAGAUUUAUUGGUCUUGGAUGGACUCGCGGCCUAUCAGCUUGUUGGUGAGGUAAUGGCUCACCAAGGCGACGACGGGUAGCCGGCCUGAGAGGGUGACCGGCCACACUGGGACUGAGACACGGCCCAGACUCCUACGGGAGGCAGCAGUGGGGAAUAUUGCACAAUGGGCGCAAGCCUGAUGCAGCGACGCCGCGUGAGGGAUGACGGCCUUCGGGUUGUAAACCUCUUUCAGUAGGGAAGAAGCGAGAGUGACGGUACCUGCAGAAGAAGCGCCGGCUAACUACGUG
rnacentral:rRNA from 1 species